CAAACAUUAGUAUUAAUGGGGCUUCUGAUAGUGUGGAAAGAAUUCUAGGAAAGGAGGGAGAGUCUUCAAAAUCUCAAUUAACAAAAGAGAUGGCAGUGGUUAAAUGGAACCAGGUACAAUAGGAAUUUAAAGGCUGGGAGUUAAAAUCCACUAUAAGGAGAGUCAUAGUCGAGUUCAAAAGGUUAUGGAAACCAUUGUAGUCAAUCUUUAUUCCAUGUAGAGCCUGUUUGUUGGAAAAGGGGUGUAAUGUUGACCCGUACUGUUCAGGCUGUGGCGAGGCAAAGAUAGUAAACCACAUCUUCCUUGAAUGAAAUAAAGUUGCCGAGAAAUCAGACUGGGAAAGCACAAGAAGGAAGAGGAGAAUAGUAGAUCAAUCAUCAUCAAUAGCAAGAAAUGAAGAACCCAACAUAAUUAGUGAAUUACCUUACAACUGAUUCAGCCUCUUUUCUUUUUUGAAGAUAAAAUUGGUUUAAUCUCUUUUCUGGACCCAUAUGAUUCGGUUCUGAUAAAAAGUUUAUGCCAACCCAUUAAAGCCAAUACAGAGUAUAGCUUAAGGAUAAACCCAUGAAACCACGGUCUAUUAAACCCCAACAUUCUUCUCAGCCGCUCUUAACCUUUGUUCCUCCCAAGUUCGACACCGAUUCAAAAAUGACAACCCACUUCAAGAGGGGCUGGAAGCGAUGGGCACCGGAAGCAUCCUGGAGAUAAGCACCAUCACAAGAUACCCCGCACAGGCACCAUCCAUGCUCUUUUUUUGCCAUGUCUUCAUCCUCUCCCACCCCGUUUCUCUUGCUCCGCCUCUCGCCAAGGAGCAAGGAACGACGAAUCUCAAAGAGGCGGUGUUGCUAAUGGCACGGACCUUAAAAGCUUGAUGAACGAGUUCUAAAAAAAAAAAAAAAAAAAAAGAUGAAGAAGGCGAUGCUUCAAAACUGGUUCAAUCUCAUUGUUAGGAUUUAGGGUCGUUUGAAUGGAGGGAUAUCAAAAUCCAAUGUGAAAAAUAAAAAAACUUAGUUGGAAUGCCAUGUAAAAUUUCUCAAGGGAAUGGUCUAAAAGAACAAACUUUGACCCA